GUCAGACACCUGGGAGCCAAACCUGAGAAUAAAAAGGGUCACAAAAAGUUCAGGAUUUUAAAAGUUUCCUUAUCUGAAAAAUAGUUCUCAAAAUUAAUCUGUUUGAGCUCAAACAUGCCAGUGAGCAGAGAAGUCAGGGGAAUGCUAUCUCCACUCAGUGGCUCCCCUUCUCACCCUCCCCACACCCUUCACUCUUGGACUACUGUCAUGUGGAAUGGGCUCUGCCCCUGCCAAACAGAGAGCUGUCGACCUAUUUCUCCAGAGAUAAACCUUUAAAAAAUAUUUCCCAGUAAAGGUAGUGAGUUGGGUAUGAUCAUUCCCACCAUUAGGGCCAGUUCUCCUUCUGUACCUAGCACAGUGCCUGGCACAUAGCUGGUAAGCAGAAAUACUUCCUGAGCAAUGGACUCUGGGCUGCAACUGGAUCAACUACUGGGAGGCAGCCCUUUCCUCCAGAUGCAUUUCCAUUUUGCACAGGUCGAAUCUGAAUCAGUCUCAGCUGCCCUUUCAGCAGACAUCUCUGGUUUAUUUCUUCUCACAAUGAACUGUACUAUUGUUCUUUAGAAUCCAUUGUGUUAUUGAAUUUAUGAAACUGAAAAAUAACUGAUUGAAGCCAGAUACUACGGACUAGCCAUGCUGCAGUCAUGCUGUAUCUCAGACACAAAAUACACAUUAACUAGGGACAGUUCUAGGUCCAGCUGUGAGACAGGGUGAGGAUUGUGAUGUCUAUCUCUCC
rnacentral:lncRNA from 1 species